UACGUAGGGCGCAAGCGUUAUCCGGAAUUAUUGGGCGUAAAGAGCUCGUAGGCGGUUUGUCGCGUCUGCCGUGAAAGUCCGGGGCUCAACUCCGGAUCUGCGGUGGGUACGGGCAGACUGAGUGUGAUGAGGGGAGACUGGAAUUCCUGGUGUAGCGGUGAAAUGCGUAGAUAUCGGGAGGAACAUCAGUGGCGAAGGCGGCUGCCUGGCCCAAUACUGACACUCAGGUGCGACAGCGUGGGGAGCAAACAAGG
rnacentral:rRNA from 1 species